rnacentral:rRNA from 1 species
GGACGAUAAGACCCUAUAGAACUUAAUUAUAAAUUUAAAAAUUAAAAGGUAAAAAUUUUACUGGGGAAGUAAAAAAAUAAAAAUUUUUUAUUAAAAUUACUAUUAAAAGAAUAAUAAACCUUUUAAGAAAAAAAAGUUACCUUAGGGAUAACAGAGCAAAAAUUUUUUAGAGAUCAAAUCAAGAAGAUUAAAUGCUACCUCGAUGUUGAAUUAAGAAAACAUCUAAUAGAAGAAAAUUAGAUUAUAGGUCUGUUCGACCUUUAAAUUCUUACAUGAUCUGAGUUCAGACCGG